rnacentral:lncRNA from 1 species
CAGUUCAGUGUGUUAUAGUGUCUCUAGGAGGUGAACUACUGUAACAGUUCAGUGUGUUAUAGUGUCUCUAUGCGGUGAACUACUGUAACAGUUCAGUGUGUUAUAGUGUCUCUAGGAGGUGAACUACUGUAACAGUUCAGUGUGUUCUAGUGUCUCUCUCUAUGUAGUGAACUACUGUAACAGUUCAGUGUGUUCUAGUGUCUCUCUCUAUGUAGUGAACUACUGUAACAGUUCAGUGUGUUAUAGUUUAUCUAGUAGGUGAAAUACUGUAACAGUUCAGUGUGUUACAGUGCCUCUACCCUUUUGGUGAAAUACUGUAACAGUUCAGUGUUUUAUAGUGUCUCUUGGAGGUGAACUACUGUAACAGUUCAGUGUAUUAUACUGUCUCUAGGAGGUGAACUACUGUAACAGUUCAGUGUGUUAUAGUGUCGCUAUCUUGGAGGUGAACUACUGUAACAGUUCAGUGUGUUUUAGUGUCUCUAGGAGGUGAACUACUGUAACAGUUCAGUGUGUUAUAGUGUCUCUAGGAGGUGAACUACUGAAACAGUUCAGUGUGUUAUAGUGUCUCUUGGAGGUGAACUACUGAAAAGUUCAGUGUGUUAUAGUGUCACUAGGAGGUGAACUACUGUUACAGUUAAGUGUGUUAUAGUGUCACCAUCCAGGAGGUGAACUACUGUAACAGCUGUGUGUUAUAUUGUCUCUAGGAGGUGAACUACAGUAACAAUUCUGUGUGUUAUAGUGUCUCUAUCCUGUUGGUG